rnacentral:lncRNA from 10 species
GCCAUUCUCUAAUCUUGAGUACCCAGGGACACGAUACACUGCGGAAGGCUGCAGGGACCUCUGCCCAGGAAAGCCAGGCUUGCAUGAAGGAAAUGAUUUCCUAUGAUUCUGCUUACUGCUUAAAAAAAUUAAUCAAGUUUUCUGCCUGACAAGAGCCAGAAAAACUUCAUCUCUUUUACAAGAAACAUUGAGAUUCCUGUAAAAUUAAGAAAUCACACAAUUUGAUGGUCUACAUUAUCUAAAGCAAAUGAGACUUCUAUUUGGAACAAAGACUACCUUGUUGGGAAAUGAGUCUGCAAGUUAAAGUGUUUUCUGGAUCCAGUAUCUGCCGGAGGAGCCCCACCUUCUGCUACUAUUAUGUUCUUCAGAUGAGUAGAAGAGAGUGGGGAGGGAGAGAGCAGGAAGAAGAAAGGAAGAAUAAUGUCUUGAAAUUGUUUUCUAAGGAUAAUGGUCUCCAGCUUCGUCAAUGUUCCUGCAAAGGACAUGAUGCUGACUUUGAAGAUGCAAGCUUCCACAUCUACAGCCUCAAGGAAACAAAUUCAGCCAACCAACUGAGGGAGCUUUCCUUGUCCUGCCUCAAGAUGAGAUCACAGUCUGCCCAACACCAUGAUUUAGGCCUUGUGACACCUGGUAUGGAAGACCCAGUUAAGUUCUCUCCAAACUCUUGACCCACAGAACCUGUGAGAAAAUAUAUGGAUAUUAUUUUAAACUGCUAAA